UAGAUUCCAACCGAAGUCUCAUAAAGUUCAUGAACUGACUAGAGAAUGAACUGAUCCACUGGGUCUUCUGCUUUUUUUGUUGAACUUUAUGAGACUUCUGUUGGAAUCUA